GGAGCACUAGUCCACGAAGUUGACAGGCUGCUCUGCCGCUGCAGGCAGUGACCAACAAAUAUUCACCUUCAGUAACACGCAGGCCAUCAAAGAAGCGGCUCGCGCCGCCGAACAUCGCAAGCGCCAUCGCUACGAGAACCUGGCCCGGAGGUAUGAUUUCUCACCGCUUGCUGUGGAGACUAGCGGUGUGCUCGGACCAGACUUCAAUGACUUACUGGAUGAUAUUGGUAGAAGAAUCACCCAACGCAGCGGGGAACCUCGAGAGACAGGUUGGCUGCGGCAACGCAUCAGCCUUGCCAUAGCGCGGGGCAACGCAGCUGCCAUCUGCGGGUCCCAUUAGUUGCCGAAAGGCCCACUAUGAAUCAUGUUUUGUACCCAUAUGUAUAAAUAGUAAAGUUGUUUUGCCAGAG